rnacentral:rRNA from 1 species
AGUGAACGCUGGCGGUAGGCCUAACACAUGCAAGUCGAACGGCAGCACAGUAAGAGCUUGCUCUUACGGGUGGCGAGUGGCGGACGGGUGAGGAAUACAUCGGAAUCUACUUUUUCGUGGGGGAUAACGUAGGGAAACUUACGCUAAUACCGCAUACGACCUACGGGUGAACGCAGGGGAUCUUCGGACCUUGCGCGAUUGAAUGAGCCGAUGUCGGAUUAGCUAGUUGGCGGGGUAAAGGCCCACCAAGGCGACGAUCCGUAGCUGGUCUGAGAGGAUGAUCAGCCACACUGGAACUGAGACACGGUCCAGACUCCUACGGGAGGCAGCAGUGGGGAAUAUUGGACAAUGGGCGCAAGCCUGAUCCAGCCAUACCGCGUGGGUGAAGAAGGCCUUCGGGUUGUAAAGCCCUUUUGUUGGGAAAGAAAAGCAGCAGGUUAAUACCCCGCUGUUCUGACGGUACCCAAAGAAUAAGCAUCGGCUAACUUCGUG